AUUUAGUUGCGUCAUCAAAGCUUUCUGGUAGCAAACAUGGACUUUGUCAAAACUAUUUUGUUUAUCUCUCUCAUCUGUGGCUUGGUUGGGGAGCCCAAAGUGCCGGCUGGAUUCUGCGUUUCCAAGAUCGUGAAUUGAAAACUCGUACAAGUUGGAGAUUGCAAGAGAGACGAUGGAUCUGAUAUCGUCAGAUUGAUCAAGAAGAGUCUUGAUGGAAAGAAAAAAGCUGAAAUUAAAUGUGACGUCACGUAUGAGACAAAAUGCUUCCGAGCAGUUGUGUAUGGUACAAACAAUGUCACCUUCAACGAUGGAAUAUCAAUCUGCAAAUCAAUGAACGGAAAGCCCGCGAAUAUUUACGACCUCGCGCAUUACCAGUCACUUCGCACUUACUUACGUUCACUGAUUUCUGCUUCUUCGACACAUAUUGCCAUCUGGACUGGGAUGGAGUAUAAGACAAAUCAGCUUUUGCUGGCAAGUGGAGGACCAACAUCUAUAGCAACUGAAGUGUGGUAUCCUGGUUAUCCGCAAUCCCAGGCAUCGUGGACAAAUGUCGGUGUUGAUGUUAAUAAAGAUCCAGAGUUUUCACGUCAGGGAAUGUACCAUGAUAAACCAUCCUCGUCACGCCAAGGUAUCAUCUGUGAAAUAUAAAACCAGCUCAAAACCUGACAGAACUUCGUUGACGGACUGAAUGAUAUAAACGACAAAGAAUUCUCACUUUUUAUUACUUAUAUUAUUUCUUUACUAUUAUUAACCGUAUAACCCAUGCCUUGAAUUGGUCUCCUUGUUUAUUGAAACUUUUUGCUCAGAAAAUAAAAUUCAUAGAUUUCUCCAAGUGAUUUCUGUAUAUAACCGAACAUGAUAAUAAAUACUGA